CAGAACUGCUGCAGUACAUCGGUUGGUCCACUCUAUCCGGUAUUUUUUUUAAUUCGGUUGAAUUUAAGUUAGAAAACAUAACAUGGACAAAGACUUUAACCAUCGGGUACCGGACAUAUGGAAAACUGCAGCAGACCGAGAGGAACUUGAACCUGCUCUGUAGAAGAUUAUACAAUCCUGUUUUUCUUGGAUCUACUGUGGAUCGCUGGGACUUAAGUCAAAAUGAGACAGAGGAUGUUUUAUUUGGAACUGCUCCAGAGAAGUCUCCUACCACGUCAUUUUCAAAAGAUCAGCAUUGAAGCAUUGUUUACAGUAAGAAUAGGCACCAACAGAAAGACAAAUCUAACACUAAUGCACCAAGGAUCAAGGUGAUUUUUGGCAGCUUGGAGAAUUUUUCUUUAUCUGUCACAUCUGGUACAGAAUCUCUGACAUUUUGGUAUUUGUAAUGUUUAUUUUAUUAUAUUUGUAUACUUAUGCUAGAUAUUAAUAUACUUGUAUAGUUAUUGUAUGUUUCUUAAUUAAAAGAUAGCCCCAGGUAAAAAUGUAAAACUGAUAUAAUACUGAUAUUGAAAAUACAAGCUAAAAUGGCAAAAUUUGUUGCUUUCUCCACCUGUUUCACAAAUGAAAACAUUUUAUAUGCACAGAUUCACUUGCCGGAACUGUACAGAUUUUUUUGUUUAAUUUCAGGCCAAUCUGUAUUGUAGACACAACAUUUGUUAUAUGAAUGCCCCAUCUGAAGGGAGCUGCCUUGAAAAAAAUAUAAAUUACAUUUUCUUUUCGUCUUAUCUCCGUAUAGACCAUGGUUCCUCCCAUCUUACCCUGAAGGUGCCCUGCAGAGUUAGCUCCAACCUUAAGAGGAAAACACCACACUUUUUCAAUAUUUUUUAUGUUAUCACCUCAACUUAAAAAUUAAUACAAACCCUUUUUUUCAAUGCGUGCACUUUUAAUCUUUGUACAGCGCAUCGUGAAUGUGUUAGCAUUUACCCAAGCCCAAUUUAUUCCUUAGGAACAAAACAAAAGUUUUAUUUUGUGCCACCAUACUUACUCGUGUAACUACUCAUGUAACAGUCUUUAAAUAGGAAAAAAACAUGGAAGUGUUUGGUGGCUUUUAAAUUAAUCCCUGUUUGGAUCCUAAGGAAUGAAUGGGGCUAGGCUAAAUGCUAACACAUUCACGACACGCUGUACAAAGAUUAGAAGUGCAUGCAUUGAAAAAAGAUAGGUAUGUAUUAAUUCAUCUAAGUUGAGAUAAGAACAUAGUAAAAUAUAGAAAAACUGUGUUUCCUCUUUAAUCAAACAUACCUGAGGUAGGUGGGUUUGAUCAGGGUUGAUGCUAAACUCUGCAGGGCAGCGGUUCUCCAGGGUAGGAUGUGAAGAACCCUGUUAUAGAUGGUUUCAGUGACAGUAACAUACAUAAAUGCUUUUGUGGCCCAAACUUAACUUCCGGGAGAUUUCCGUGUAGAACCAAUAUAGGAAAAAACUGAAAUUCUGUCAUAAUUUACUCACUCUCAUUUUGUUACAAACCUGUAUAAAUUUCUUUGUUCUGAUGAACACAAAGGAAGAUAUUUUGAGGAAUGUUUUUAACCAAACAGUUCAUAAGCCCCAUUCACUUCCAUAAUAUUCUUUUUUCCUACUAUGGAAGUGAAUGGGGCUCAUUAGGGCUGUGACGGUUGUCAUAACCACACACAACCGCAGUGGUGAAGUGCGACCCACGUGGUAAAGUGGGACCCGCGAUGGUGUGCACGUCACAAAGAAAUUUAUUACAAUCUUGCACAGCAAAACUUCCUUUUUUUCAAAGCAUGUACAGUAGGUGCUCCAGAGUAUCUGUCAUUGCUAAGUAACCUAAGCAUUGCUUGACGUUGUGACGAGCACCCACCGGCAGAAAAAGAAACUGGUGCCUGUGAACAAGCACGUUUGUUAAGAAAUGUAUAUCUGAUCCUCGUUUAAUUUUUUUUUUUUUAUACAGUGGGGAAAAUAAGUAUUUGACACAUCAGUAUUUUUAUCAGUAAGGGGAUUUCUAAGUGAUGUAGCCAGAUGCAGCCAUCAAGCCAAAUAUUGAAUUCAUCCAAAGAAAUCAGAACAUUUAAGUAUACACGUUGAGUCAUAAUAAAUAAAGUGAAAUGACACAAGGAAUAAGUAUUGAACACACAUUAUUUAAUACUUUGUAGAAAAGCCUUUGUUGGUGAUUACAGCUUCUAGUUCUUGUAUGGAGAGACCAGUCAUCUGCAUUGCUCAGGAGUGAUUCUGGCUCAUUCUUCCAUACAAAUGGUCUUUAAAUCUUGAAGGUUCAUUGGGCCUCUUUUAUGAACUUUGAUCUUCAGUUCUCUCCAUAGAUUUUCUAUGGGAUUUGGGUCAGGUGAUUGACUGACCACUUUAUUGUUUCCUUGGCCUUGUGUAUAGUUUAGACCUUGAUGCAAGGUCUUCCUGAAGUUCUGCCCGAGUGUCUCUUGGCUCUUGGAGAACUCUCCUGAUUAUUCUUUGCACU